AGGACGGACCUGCGUG
rnacentral:tRNA from 1 species